GAGUUUUUACGAGAGCAAACGAGUCAUAAAACAUAUUGAAGCGGCUGUGGUCUGUUUCAUCAUGGGGCUUCAGACCUUUUAAACACAAGUAAAUAACUGUACUUCUGCUUCUUGCUGUCACUGAACGUUAUUAUGGUCUUAAAGAAAAGUAGCAUUGCCACUUACUGGACCGGUAUACAGCAUUUUUUAGUUGUUUUUGAGGAUCCAUGGGAUCCGUGUGAACAAUUUCUUCUGAAUGCAAAACUUUUCAAAAGCGCAUUAGUACAUUAUUGUUGUGUAAACAUACUUUAAAUUUUGCAACCAAUUUGCCAAAAUGUUAAAGAGAUAAAAAUUUCCACAAAAGUAUGUUGAAACACCCCAACACAUGUCAUCAUGAUGUAUUUCUCUCUAGAAGGGCACAGCAGGAAGUUUAUUGUAUAGUAGUAGUAGAAUGUGCAGCGAAUAAAUGGCUGAAAGGUCAAUAACACAAAUCUGCAGAGUCUUACACAAAGCUGUAAAAAUGACUGAUGGAGUGCAGCUUGUUCCCAAUAUGGUGACUUCGCUGUUUGUUCACUACACUGGAGGCCGAAAUUCAGAGGAAAAUGUGCUCUCUUGUGACUUUCAUGUCAAGAACUGUUCUCGUGAUUUGACAACUAAUGAACACACUUAAUAGACACUGGCUUACAGCCAUACUUCACUGGAAGCUCUGUGCAAGUUCUUAGAGAUCGAAUUUAACAAGAAAAGAGUUGUGAAGAGGGACUUGUAACACACAACACUACAUACAUGUUCAUGCUUGCACACCACAUUCAAACUUUUUGUUUCAUUUUUAGUUAUUAGGUUAUUAGUUAUUAAGUUAUUAGUUAUUAACUGAAAUUUCACACAAUGUGUAUGGCUUCUGGAGACUUGGAAUAAUGAGCACGAGAAGUAUGGAUUACUGCUAUUUUCAACCUGGUCUCAUAAAAAUAUGUACCUCCGUGCACUUUUUAUGCAACACCGUUUUUGUUGCGGUUCAGAAUUCAAAUAUCAGGGGACUGUCGCUAAAAAUUUAUACUCUACCGUGUUGGAAAUAUUCCCUACAUCGAACUGUGCAGGAUUUGAACCGGAGCUCCUCGCCUCUCAAGUAGACUACAUCUCCAUACUCCGUGAGCUACCGAACAAACCCAUAGAUAUGAAGCUGGAUAUGUGUGAUGCUAACGUUAAAAAGCACCAGUUUUCAAAUCUCCCAGUAUAUUAAUAUUGUUUUGAAGACAUAACAUGAUAUACUUAAAGUAAUUAUGUGAAAAUUCCGCUUUAUUAAUCGAAACUUUGUGUGAAAAGGAAUAAAAGGAGUCGGAGUUUUACUGCCCGUAGUGUUCAUUUAUUUUGGAAACUGCAGUGAUAUGUACUUAUUGGUACAUAUUUCGCGUCUCGCUAAAAAGUACACCAUGCCAUGAGACCAGGUAGGCUAUAUUAGUUUUAUGUGCCUUGUGGAUACAAAUUGAAUUGUAAUUUUGUUGUGAUUUUAACCUUAUUGACUUCUAUGACUGAGAACUUCAUGUUAAUCAAUAAUUUUACCGCGUGUCUCUUGUGGAUUUGUGUUUUAAUUGGAAUUUUCUAUUAAGCUCUAUAAGAGGCAUUUUAGAUGUGAAGCAGAAAUAACAGAGCGGACAUGAAGUUCAGCUUCACAGCUCUUGGCUCAUUAUUUUACAAGUCAUAUUUGAAAUUCCCCAGCUGUGCACCAUACUGAGAGAAUAAAUGAACUGAUUUGAACUUCAUUUCUAUGACAUUUCAUAUUCAAACAACUCAGCUAUAACAUUUUGGUUUGUCUUUCACACUGAGCUCUGUGUAAUUCCAAAUGGAUCACCCAAAGUUUUUUUUAAUUGACUAAAUGAUGAUUGUGUCUGUAAGAGGC
rnacentral:lncRNA from 12 species